rnacentral:tRNA from 1 species
AACAAAGUGCCUGAGUAAAGGGAUAUCUUGAUAGGAUAAUUAACGUAAAAUUUAUACCUUUGUUA